rnacentral:rRNA from 1 species
CACUGCCGAGAAAAGCCUCUAGAUAGAAAAUAGGUGCCCGUACCGCAAACCGACACAGGUAGUCAAGAUGAGAAUUCUAAGGUGAGCGAGCGAACUCUCGUUAAGGAACUCGGCAAAAUGACCCCGUAACUUCGGGAGAAGGGGUGCUCUUUAGGGUUAACGCCCAGAAGAGCCGCAGUGAAUAGGCCCAAGCGACUGUUUAUCAAAAACACAGGUCUCUGCUAAACCGUAAGGUGAUGUAUAGGGGCUGACGCCUGCCCGGUGCUGGAAGGUUAAGAGGAGUGGUUAGCUUCUGCGAAGCUACGAAUCGAAGCCCCAGUAAACGGCGGCCGUAACUAUAACGGUCCUAAGGUAGCGAAAUUCCUUGUCGGGUAAGUUCCGACCCGCACGAAAGGCGUAACGAUUUGGGCACUGUCUCAACGAGAGACUCGGUGAAAUCAUAGUACCUGUGAAGAUGCAGGUUACCCGCGACAGGACGGAAAGACCCCGUGGAGCUUUACUGUAGCCUGAUAUUGAAAUUCGGCACAG